UUUGCGCGAAUCCUAUCGUCUCCUUCCGUUGCCUGUCUCCUGUACCUCUCUCUGUUCUCCUCUGUACCAGGCCCUCCAGCUGCGAGCUAGGGUUCGGGGAGCCUGCUCCGUUGCCUCUCUCGCCCCCUCUCCUGGACCUUCUCCACCUUCUAUCUUGUAUCUAGUUCCGACGUCUUUAAAGCACCAGCGCCCCUCCUCUCCUCUGAGUCGCUCCCAGCGAAGACGCCAUUGCCGCCGGCGAGCGCGUACAUGUAGCGCCGCUGUGUUGUAGCUCCGGGGGACGACGACGGAACUACCCAAAGGAGCCGGCUAUCUUCUGCGCCUCGAGAAUCUAGGGGCAAAUAUCAUCCAAAAGGUCCCAGAUAAGUAGGGGCGGUGGUUUCACUGAUUUGAUGGUCGGAUAAUUAUUUAAGUCAUUCAGUUGUCUACAUUCUUGCUGGAAAUGGUGGUGAUAUUUGUAGGAGAUGAGGUUUUCGACUUGUGUUCUUUCCAGGAGAUCACAUUUGAAAGUGUGUCACUGAAGCAUGCAUAUGUUCUAUGCAUGUAACUCUGGAUGCACUUACUGUUAGCUUCAGGAAGUUGCUAGCACUGAACCAUGUCUCAUUCGUCGUGUUUAACCGGGAUGAAAAGAUUGUAUGACCUGACAAGGAAGUUUCUGGAACUGAUGUAUUUCCGUUCAUUUGCAAUGGAAAGGGGUUAAAGCCCGGUUCAAAAAAAAUGACCUGACAAGGAAUUGCUAAGCCUAGCUUGAUGUAGAUUUCAACAUUUGGUUUGUCUUUCUGUGUUACUUGUAGCCAACCUGCUAUAUGUCAUGCUCAUGUGCCUACUUGCUGAAUUAGUGCGACCUUAUUACUAUGUGUA